rnacentral:misc_RNA from 1 species
GAUGAAGAACGUAGCGAAAUGCGAUAAGUAAUGUGAAUUGCAGAAUUCAGUGAAUCAUCGAAUCUUUGUACGCACAUUGCGCCCGCCAGCACUCUGGCGGGCAUGCCUGUUCGAGCGUCAUUUCAACCAUCAAGCCCCCAGGGGCUUGUGCUGGGGCCCUGCGGCUGCCCGCAGGCCCUGAAAACCAGUGGCGGGCUCGCUAGUCACACCGAGCGCAGUAGCACAUCUCGCUCAGGGCGUGCGGCGGGCUCCUGCCGUGAAACCCCCCACUGUAACCCCAAAGGUUGACCUCGGAUCAGGUAGGAAUACCCGCUGAACUUAAGCAUAUCAAUAAGCGGAGGA